rnacentral:lncRNA from 1 species
UGGCACACAAAAUUAUGGUCUUUUUAUGAUUGUCGCAUAAACCAGAUAAGACAAGAUAAGGACUUGAGUUUGUUAUAAUUUAAAUCAUUUUAAAUUUCAAUUUAACUCCAACUUUUUCUCAUCCAUAUCUAACUUAAAGAGAGACUUACCAAAGAAAAUUGGAUAUGAAAAUCAAUUGGAAAGACUUCUUUUUCUCAUACACAAUGGGCACCUUCAGAAAUUGCCAUUGUGUGGAAGGAUAUGGAUAAGAU